rnacentral:misc_RNA from 1 species
GUGAAUCAUCAAAUUUUUGAACGCAAAUUGCACUCUCUGGCAUUCCGGAGAGUAUGCCUGUUUGAGGGUCAGUUUAAAUAAAAAUCGGUGUGAUCGCUGCCUUUCUUGGUGACGCGCCGGGUUUGGGCCGUCUUGCCUUCGAUUAAGUGACCUAGAAUUGUGCAUGAUUUUUUCUAACGCAUUUAAAUG